UGGGGAAUCUUGGACAAUGGGCGCAAGCCUGAUCCAGCCAUGCCGCGUGAGUGACGAAGGCCCUAGGGUUGUAAAACUCUUUCGUGGGGGACGAUAAUGACGGUACCCCAAGAAGAAGCUCCGGCUAACUUCGUGCCAGCAGCCGCGGUAAUACGAAGGGGGCUAGCGUUGUUCGGAUUUACUGGGCGUAAAGCGCGUGUAGGCGGGCUGGAAAGUUGGGGGUGAAAUCCCGAGGCUCAACCUCGGAACUGCCUCCAAAACUUCCAGCCUGGACUCAAGUAGAGGCAAGUGGAAUUGCGAGUGUAGAGGUGAAAUUCGUAGAUAUUCGCAGGAACACCAGUGGCGAAGGCGACUUGCUGGACUUGUAGUGACGCUGAGACGCGAAAGCGUGGGGAGCAAACA
rnacentral:rRNA from 1 species